rnacentral:lncRNA from 1 species
UACAGCAGAGAAAUUCCACAUGCUUCAUCGUGAUCCUGAAUAUGUGGUGCAGUGAGGUGGUAGGCAAAUGAUAGGAUUUGGCAUCAGACAAAGAGGAUUUAAAUCCCAGGUCUGACCAGCUCUGUAAUCUUGGUACAUCAAUGAAAGAGGAUACUAAUAAACUAAUAAACCUAUGGAUGGGCUGCUUAGGGCAGCAUUUUUAACCAUGAGACUCUGAACAUUUGUUAGUUAUUCAUAUAAUCUGACAUCAGGAGUGAGCUCAAUUUUGUAGUUGCCAGAAUAAGCUUUAAUGCAUCCAGUAUGACUAGCUAGAGGGGCAGAGAGGUGUCCUGUGUCAAACCUGCCAGUACAGAAUGAAGAUUUGCUUCUUGGGACUGCACCUCUUGUCCAACUUUAUGACAACACAGUGCCCUCCCUUCCUUUGUCCUCAGACCUCGAGAACUAAUCUGAAGGUUUUCUGUUGGCCACAGUGGCUGCACCGUAACAGCAUGACACUACCAGCUCACCGAUUGCUUGCCCUUUCUACAGGCUGCUAGUGUCUCUAAGGCAACUUUGAUUUCCUUUAGUGUUGAGAGCCUUGUUACCAUAACAAUGCAAAAGAAGUGAUGAUUUCGCCACCCCACGACAGAGAGGAAUAUUGAAAUGGUUAACUGUGGAGGUGAAAACAACAUUGACUUUUCAUAAACCUUGAAAAAAAAUCUUCAGAUUAAUUGGCCUUAUUUUUUCCUUCGUCUGUCUAUUAAUUUUUUUCUUUUAAAUCUGUAGUUUUUAGCGAGUCAUGAUGUCACAGGCCUGGAAUCCCAGCACUCAGGAAGCUGAGGCAGGAGGAUUGUUAUGAAUUCAGGGCCAGCCUAGGCUACAUAGUGAGUUCAAGGCCAGCCUGAACUACACAGGUGAUGGGCAAUAAUCUUUGCUUUGAGCCAAAGAUUACAAAAUACACAAAAAAACGAGCCACUGUGAGAGAGAAUAAGCAGAAACUGCAAGCUGGAGAAGAUCAUUCUUUGGAAUGUUAUCUUUGUUUAGAAUAUGUGUGUGUUUCUGCCAGUUGCCUGCAUCACUAGUGAUUUGCCACCACUUUAACCUAUUUUUCUGGCUUUGAUCUUUUUUUUUCCAUACAUGUAGCAGCACAGGCUAUGGUUUAGUAUUCUCAAGGGCUACAUUUUCCUUGUUUUUAUACAUAUUUUUUCAUCCUACCAAGAGUAAAGGCCAAAACGAGACUUCUGACAAUCUCUGUGAAUCAGGUUAUCCUGGCUUACCUACUAAAGGGAUUCCCCCCUGGAUUUGGGCUCUCCAAUCUGACUAUACCCCAGUCUUGGGUUCCUGGCUUUGUCUCCUGCCCCUGGCAUGUAUGAGAUCCCCUUAAAUCCAAUUACACCCAGAACUAAUGCUGACUUCAGCACUCACUUUUUCCUCUAGUUUAGAAUCUUUCAUUAUUUCUGGCCUCUGAACAUUUAUUUUAUUUCUUACCAGCCAAGCCAUCUAUUAUUUACUUUUAUUUUAAUUCAGCAAUUUUAGGUGUUUUGAACCAAGAAAGAGUUCCAAAUGCCUAGGCAUUUAUUCUGCCACCAUUACCAGAAAGAUUUUUAAAUCUCUGAAUAAUAUUUUAAUUAUUUGUGUGUGUGUGAGAAAAUUUCAUGUUAUUUCAAGUCCUUAAAGAGGAGCUAGAGUAAAAGUGG